rnacentral:misc_RNA from 1 species
UAAUAAAAGUGUUUUAUGGCACUUUUUAAACAAUCCAUAUCCACCUUGUGUGCAAUGUUUUUUUGAAGUCGGAAGAGGUUUUUUCCCCUUCCUGCCUUCUCUUUAACUAUUCAACUCUUAUUUUUAAUUGCCAUUUGUCUGAAAAAAAAUUAUUAUUAUGAAUAACUUAAUUCAAAAUA